rnacentral:rRNA from 1 species
AACGCUGGCGGCGUGCUUCAUACAUGCAAGUCGAACGAGAAGUCACCUUCGGGUGAUGGAAAGUGGCGGACGGGUGAGUAAUGUGUAGAGAAUCUGCCCUUUAGUGGGGGACAACAGUUGGAAACGACUGCUAAUACCCCAUAUGCGCGUAGCUGAGAUGCUAUUCGUGAAAACUCCGGUGCUAAAGGAUGAGUCUGCAUCUGAUUAGCUAGUUGGCGGUGUAAUGGACCACCAAGGCGACGAUCAGUAGCUGGUUUGAGAGGAUGAUCAGCCACAAUGGGACUGAGACACGGCCCAUACUCCUACGGGAGGCAGCAGUAGGGAAUUUUGCGCAAUGGGGGAAACCCUGACGCCAGCAACGCCGCGUGAUUGAAUAAGCCCUUCGGGGUGUAAAGAUCUGUCAGUAGGGACGAAACUUGACGGUACCUACAGAGGAAGCAUCGGCUAACUCCGUGCCAGCCGCUGC